rnacentral:tRNA from 1 species
GAGGCAGUAGCUCAGUGGUAGAGCUCCCGCUUCGUAUGCGAGAAAACCUGAGUUCAGUUCCCGGUUGCUUCC